GGGGCUGUGGCUCAGUGGUUAGAGCAUCUGCUUGGCUUGCAGGAGGCCCCGGGUUCAAGCCCCGGCAGCUCUA